GCAAGACCAUUGUUAUGUAUUUCAUGUUUAUUAUUACUUCGAAUACGGCUAGAAUACAAUGUUUUAACAAGGUAUGGUGAUGGAUUACUCUCGGUUGUUGAUUAAUCUUGUAGCACGUCCUUUACUAAAUAUUGUGUUUAAAUGGCGAAGGAUGAUGGAGAUACAAUGAACACGAAAGUCAUUAUUAUUUUUAGCCUUGGCGCUAUAUGUUUGUUAGCAGAGGUUACAUGAUUCUUCUUUCGGAAUAGGCGGAAAAAUGAGAGCCUUCACUGUUGUUUAUUUAGUAGAGGUUGAGAUCGUAUUUCAAAUUAUUAAGAACACUAUUGUUUUAGAUUCUUUCACAUAUUCAUACGUUUGAAAAAAAACCGCAUUCUCCAUGAUGUUUUGGUCAUAGAGAAUGUAAUAAAAGUCCAUUAAAUAGCAUUGAUACUCCCAUACUAUAGUAUUUUCCUUUGUGUUGAGGAUUAAUGCAACCACAGUGUUGUGGUUUGAACACUAAUCGAGAAGGCCUCUUUACUGUUGUCUAGGUCAGUUAUAACUUUCAUAUAUGUGCUUCCAUACACUUUAAUGUUAGUAGUACAAUUGCUGUUAGCAGAUUAAAAACUUAGUUAAACAUAUGCGUACUCACAUAUUUAUUAUUUCUCUUUACAUCAAGGAUUCCCAUGGACAUGUGGUUGUCCAUUACACAGAUGUUGAUACAAAUGUUCAGCUCCUUUUUAGGUACCGUUGCUCAUGUUGCAGCCCGAGGUUGUAGCUACACAGGAACACAAAUUCAGAUAUAAACAGUUUCAUCUCAGAUGACACAACAACAGCCGCAAUAUUUUGCUUUGACAAUAUUGCUAAACAUAUUCUUGGAAAACCUUGUGAACCCUGAUGUCGUGAACACCUUUAUGCAGUACAUAGCUAAUGUAUUUUUAUGAUAUUAAUCAUGCCCCUAGGACAUGUUGCUACAACAGACCCUUUUGCAUGUAUGUAUAGGACUAUAGGUGAUAGAUCGAUAUCUUAGGCUACUAAUAAAUAGACUUGCUAGAAACGUACUUAUAUUGAUGAGUACAAUGCUGCUUGGAACAUGUUGAACUAAUCUGAUUAAUAUAUUUUUGUAUGGCUUUUGUUGUGGU
rnacentral:lncRNA from 7 species